UACAGAGGUCUCAAGCGUUGUCCGGAAUGACUGGGCGUAAAGGGUGUGUAGGCGGUUUAUUAAGUUAGAAGUGAAAUACCUAGGGCUUAACCCAGGUGCUGCUUCUAAAACUGAUAGACUUGAGUGCAGUAGAGGAAAGUGGAAUUCCUAGUGUAGCGGUGGAAUGCGUAGAUAUUAGGAGGAACAUCAGUGGCGAAGGCGACUUUCUGGACUGUAACUGACGCUGAGGCACGAAAGUGUGGGGAGCAAACAGG
rnacentral:rRNA from 1 species